rnacentral:rRNA from 1 species
GUAGGGAAUUUUCCGCAAUGAGCGAAAGCUUGACGGAGCGACACAGCGUGCAGGAUGAAGGUCUUCGGAUUGUAAACUGCUGUUGUAAGGGAAGAAAAAAUUUAAUAGGAAAUGAUUAAAUCUUGACGGUACCUUAUUAGAAAGUGACGGCUAACUAUGUGCCAGCAGCCGCGGUAAUACAUAGGUCACAAGCGUUAUCCGGAAUUAUUGGGCGUAAAGAGUUUGUAGGCGGUUUAUCAAGUCUAGAGUUAAAGCCUGAGGCUCAACCUCAGUCCGCUCUGGAUACUGGUUAACUAGAGUUAUAUAGAGGUAAACGGAAUUCUUAGUGAAGCGGUGGAAUGCGUAGAUAUUAGGAAGAACACCAACGGCGAAGGCAGUUUACUGGAUAUACACUGACGCUCAAGAACGAAAGCGUGGGGAGCAAACAGGAUUAGAAACCCUAGUAGUCCC